AAUCAACGCUGGCGGCGUGCCUCAGACAUGCAAGUCGAACGAUUAAGACUCCCUUCGGGGAGUGCAUAAAGUGGCGCACGGGUGAGUAACACGUAAGUAAUCUGCCCUCGAGUGGGGAAUAACACCGGGAAACCGGUGCUAAUACCGCAUAAUGCGGCGGCACCGCAAGGUGACAGUUGUUAAAGGAGCAAUCCGCUUGAGGAGGAGCUUGCGGCAGAUUAGCUAGUUGGUAAGGUAAUGGCUUACCAAGGCUACGAUCUGUAACCGGUCUAAGAGGACGGUCGGUCACACUGACACUGAAUAACGGGUCAGACUCCUACGGGAGGCAGCAGUCGGGAAUUUUGGGCAAUGGGCGAAAGCCUGACCCAGCAACGCCGCGUGAAGGAUGAAGUAUUUCGGUAUGUAAACUUCGAAAGAAUGGGAAGAAUAAAUGACGGUACCAUUUAUAAGGUCCGGCUAACUACGUGCCAGCAGCCGCGGUAAUACGUAGGGACCAAGCGUUGUUCGGAUUUACUGGGCGGUAAA
rnacentral:rRNA from 1 species